UGGGGAAUUUUGCGCAAUGGGGGAAACCCUGACGCAGCAACGCCGCGUGAGUGAUGAAGGCCUUCGGGUCGUAAAGCUCUGUCAGAGGGGAAGAAGUGCAGGGGCGCUAAUAUCGCUUUUGCUUGACGGUACCCUCAAAGGAAGCACCGGCUAACUCCGUGCCAGCAGCCGCGGUAAUACGGAGGGUGCGAGCGUUGUUCGGAAUUAUUGGGCGUAAAGCGCGUGUAGGCGGUUUGGUAAGUCUGAUGUGAAAGCCCCGGGCUCAACCUGGGGAGUGCAUUGG
rnacentral:rRNA from 1 species